rnacentral:rRNA from 1 species
CGCCCCGCAAGGGGAGCGGCAGACGGGUGAGUAACGCGUGGGAAUCUACCCAUCUCUACGGAAUAACUCAGGGAAACUUGUGCUAAUACCGUAUACGCCCUUCGGGGGAAAGAUUUAUCGGAGAUGGAUGAGCCCGCGUUGGAUUAGCUAGUUGGUGGGGUAAAGGCCUACCAAGGCGACGAUCCAUAGCUGGCCUGAGAGGAUGAUCAGCCACACUGGGACUGAGACACGGCCCAG